UUUCUGUCUUGCCGAUUUUUAGCAUUGGUGGGGUGGGGAAGUCUACCCUGGCUCAGUUCAUCUACAAUGAUCCAAGGGUGCAAGCUCACUUUGGCAAGAGGAGGGUAUGGGUCUGUGUUUCAGACCUCUUUGACAAGAGAAGAAUAACAAAAGAGAUCAUUGAGUCUUUCACCAAGGAAGAGUAUAAGCCACUGUUCAGUUUAGAUGCUCUUCAGGUGGAAAUGAUGGAGCAGCUAGGGAGACGAAAGUUCCUUUUGGUGUUGGAUGACAUUUGGCAAGAAGCUAUUGACGAGUGGGAGUCAUUUUAUGCACCAUUCAAGAACGGACCUAAAGGCAGUAUGAUCUUAGUAACUACAAGAUUUACAACUGUUGCUGAUCGUGUUGCCACCAACAAUUGUAAGCCUAUCCAACUCGAAGGCUUGGAUAGAGAUAUAUUUUGGGAGUUCUUCAGCAAGUGUUCAUUUGGAGAAGAGCGUCCAGAAUCAUAUCCUCAAUUGCAAGAUAUUGGUCACAACAUUGCCUCUAGGUUAUGUGGAUCUCCUUUGGCUGCCAAAACUAUUGGACGUUUGUUGAAUAUGGAGCUGACCGUGCAACAUUGGGAGACAGUUCGGAACAGUGAAUUGUGGGAGCUGCCACAUCGAGAGAAUGAGAUAUUACCGGCCCUCCAACUGAGCUACUUAUAUCUCCCACAAGAACUUAAGAGAUGCUUUGCAUUUUGCUGCAUGUUUCCAAAAGAUUACAGCUUUGAACGAGAUGAGAUCGUUGACAUUUGGGUGGCCGAGGGCUUUGUUGUGUCAAGUGGAAGCACACGUCUUGAAGAUAUGGGGAUUAGGUAUUUGGAUGAUUUGAGGAGCAGGUUUCUUUUUCAAACCGACCCCAAGUAUCCUAAUCGAACUAGAUAGGUCAUGCAUGACUUGAUCCAUGAUAUGGCGCAAUCCGUUUCUGUGGAUGAAUGCCUCUUGAUGCAAGAUUUGAGGUCUCGGAAUGAGAGGAGAAUGCUAUAUGCAGUUCGCCAUAUGUCAGUCGAGGUCGCUGAUGAAUCCCUGAAGAGCGGAAUGAGAGGCAUUCAGGAUUUGAACAAAUUACAUUCACUUAGGUUUGGAAUCAAUUUCAAUGUUGAGAUUACCUGGUUCAAUCAGCUCUCCAACAUCCUAUAUUUGAGCCUAAAGGGUUGCACGGUGGUCAAGCUACCUGAGAGCAUAGGCGAGUUGAACAGUCUCCGUUAUCUUGAUAUUUCUUAUAGCGGUGUACAAGAAUUGCCGGAGAAAUUCUGGUGCCUUUACAGCCUAUAGGUUGUUGAUGCAAAUGGUUCAAGUCUAAAAGCAAUUAGUCCGGAUGUCAUAAAGCUAAUCAACUUGCAUCGUCUAGCAUUGCCAACAGGUUGCUCUCCAAAGUUAUCAGAGAUAAGUAGGCUUGGAAAUCUGUCUCGUCUACGGAACUUGCAAUAUUUUAUAGUUGAAACAGGGGAUGGGCGGAAAAUUGGUGAGUUGAGGGGCAUGAAUCAGCUCAGUGUAGCUCUACUUAUUAGUUCUAUUUGUAAUGUUAAGAACGAGGAAGAGGCCGCUGAGGCUAGCCUUGUUGAAAAACGGUACCUCCAGAAUCUAGUUCUACAAUGGCGAAAGAAAGUCACAAGUUUAGUGAAGAGUAGUGAGAAUGGAGUGCUCGAAGCCUUGCAUCCUCCACCAAGAAUUGAACACCUUACAGUCCAAGGUUUUGGGGGUGAUAGCUUUUCUCCUAGUUGGUUUAGACUAGAGAGCCUGCUGACUUUAAGGAGCCUGGUGCUUUUCCAUUGUGGCGUCUUGAAAAAUCUGUCAAUCCCAUCGUUUCCUUCCCUCGAACUUCUAAUGCUAUCAGGAAAUAUUUGGCUGAAAACAGUAACAAUUCUUGGUGGUUCGACUGGUGGUGAAACGAUGCAGCAUGCAAGCAGCAGUAGCAGUAGCAGCAAUGGCACAACAUGUCUUAGUGGACUCACCUAUAUAGGUCUUUACAGUUGUGAGGACCUGCAGAAUCUUGAUCGGUGCUUGUCCCCGGAAUACUUGCCAUCCAUCAAGUCCAUAGAGAUCGACAGCUCCAGCGAUCUAGGACUGUCAAUGCCUGUCGAUAGUUUCGUGGGAUUCAAAUACCUACAAGAUCUGAAAAUCCACUGCAAAUUGUUAUGCCCGCAGGGAAUGGUUUUGCCACCCUCACUCCGACGACUCUCUAUUGUGUCUGGCCGUAAGGUUGACUUCCCGGCCUGCCUACAGAGCCUCACCUCUCUCAACAUCCUGCAUUUGUCUAGCUGCGAUGGCAUGGAGUCCAUUCCGCUGGGCACAAAUCUUUAGGUCAAAUGCCUGCUUCUCGAGCGGUGCUCGGAGCUGUCAUCCAUUGGAGGAUCACACGUUCUUUCAUCCAUGCAGUUCGUGAGCAUAUCGAUCUGCCCAAAGCUGCACGAAGUAGAGCAGCCCUUUAAAAAGUGCCUGCUGACUAAUAAGGACAAGAAGGAACUGCUUCAAUUUACCUAUCACUUAUAUGGAUAAAGCAUAGCUGAUUUCUAAAGACUUCCGGGGUAUUUUUCUUCACGCUGCGGCACCCAGAGCCUUCUGUUGAUAAUUGAGCGUUGGCUGGUUUGGGUGAGCCGUCGACGUGUGCCUUGAGAUUGAAAUGGCCGAGAAGAACAAAGAAAAGUUCACACCAUGUAGAGAGUUGGAGGGUGAGCGGUGGAUGUGGUUUUUGAUGUUAGAAACGAGUGCGAAAGCGGGAGCAGGUCUGGGGUUAGCCAUGGCGGGAUCUGCCGAGGUGCAUGAGCAGACUUUCUUCUGAUACUAUGAAGAGAUUUUCUUCUGUUCAGCAGGUAGCCCGGUAACAAAUCUCUGCCCUUCGUUCUAUCCGAUCAGACGAUUGGCAAGGUGUGGUACCUCCAGAUACAUAUUUGCCCAUGAGGUGGUACCGGCAGUGUUGAGAGAGGUGGAAGGUGCUUGAAUCCCCUCUGUCCGAUGAGUGGUAACAGCGGUGGCUUGUCCAUGGGCAACUGUGGCGGCGAGGUGGUGGCGGCCGUGGCGGUGAGGUGGUGUUGGCGGCGGCUGGUGCGUGAGCGGCCGUGGCAGCGAGGUGGUGGCGGCCGCGGUGUUGAGGUGGUCAUGGAGUCGUUAGAGCUGGCGAUGUUGUGGCAGCGGCGGGGGCUUUGGCGGCUGCAGUGACGAGGUGGUCGUGGAGCGAGGUGGUGGUGGCCGCGGUAUCGUGGUAGUCAUGGAGUCGUUGGAGCCGGUGAUGUGGUGGCGGCGGUGGGGACUUUGGCAGCUGUCGGCGGCCACAGCGGCAUAGUGGUGGUGCUCCAGUUGUCCUCUGAAGCUCUAGGACUUUUCGUUUGCUGUUGCUGCGAUGCCGGUGAUCAAGGAUAUUGCCGAUGCGUAGUGGUAUUACAUAAGUUGUACGCUGAAGUGUGUUGAUAGGAGGAUGACACUCUGAUUGGAGUAGAUCUGGCAUCCAAGAGUACAAAAGACAUUCAAGCAGCUUUGGCACUUGCUGGAACAUGUCAAUCUGGGUACACUGGUGGAGAAACCAUCUUUGGUCCGUCGGCCGAAAUCCACAAUAGUUCCGGUUCCACUAAAAACCGAGACUAAAGAUGAUCUUUAGUAUGAAGCUAGAGCUGGAAAUGGCGGACCGUUUUUAGACAUGGAAAUUUCACUCAAGAAGUUGUCCAAGCAGGAAAAGGAGACCAAUGACAUUAGAAAUUGGUUCAUAGGAAUAAUAGUUCUAGCUGUGCUCCUUCUCAUGAAAUUAUUUGAUAAUAUGUACUAUGACUACCGUUGUUGAUUUUCUGGAUGUUAAAAUGGAAAAAAAUUUAGUCAUAUUGCUAGAUGUUAUUAGCUAUGCUAAAUCACAACAUAUUCCCCAACUUACAAUAUCAAUAUCAAUUUUUAACUCAA